GGGUACAACUUUAUUCUGGAAAUUAUGAAAUUUUUCCCGCCUGUUUUUAAAUUUCAACGUUAUUCUUGUAACAUUAUGGCUUUAUUCUCAAAAUAUGAUGACUUUAUUUUCAUAAUAUUACGACUUCAGUCUCGUAAAAUUCUGGCUCGUUUUGUAUUCGACUUUAUUCUCAUAAAGAACAAAGUCGAAUAGAAAUUAUAAGAUUUUUCCCGUCCGUUUUUAAAUUUCGAUGUUAUUCUUGUAAUAUUAUGGCUUUAUUCUCAAAAUAUGACGACUUUAUUUUUUUUAUAAUAUUACGACUUCAUUCUCAUAAAAUUCUGGCGCUUUUUGUAUUCAACUUUAUUCUCAUAAAAUUAUGCGUUUUAUCUCGAUACUUUAUGACUUUAUUCUCGUAGUGACGGUGCUUUUAUUUUCAUAUGUGGCCUUAAUACACCGUCGUCGUAUGAAAUGUCGUCACAUAAACUGUUUUCCUCUGUGUUAUUUCCUGUUUUCUUUCUUCAUUUUGGACAAAUCUGAUCAAAUAUGGACACAUUUCAGUCCAAACUCAGAGGAAACGUGUGUCGUGUGAAUGUUUUAAAACCGUGACGGAUGAAAACCACCGAUGAUCCUGUUUGAUGCAGAUUUGCGUGUUUCCGAUUUCGUUGUUUUGUCGUAAACUUCCUCGAAAACUGUAAAACUUGUGCGUUUAUUAAAUCUGAGGUCAGAGAUCGGCGCCAUUGAGUCCAAGGUGUUAUCGCGCCGUUUUCCAUUUGGCGCCGUCGGGUUUAAAGCGUUAAUGUAACAGUUCUCGUUUGGAAGUGUUGACGUUAACGUAGCUGUUUUUGGUUUGUAUUGGUAUCUGUUUGGCAUCGGUGGGAUCGAGGCGUUAACGUUUCAGUUUUCAGUUUACGGCGGUUUUUGGCGUCACCGCGGCAGUAUGUGCUUGACGGCGUCGGGUUUUCAGUGUUGAAGUGUCAGUUUCAGUUUUUGCCGUUAAUGUGUCGAUUUAUGCCAUUACUGUGACAGUAUAUGUUUGAAGCGUUACCACGGCGCUACAUAUCUGGUUGCAUCGGAAUUACGGUGUUAUCAUGGCGGUUUGUGGCAUUAACGAGGCGGUACAUGUUUGCGGCGUUAACGAGGCAGUACGUAUUUGCGAUGUUAAUGCAGUGGUACGUGUUUGCGGUGUUAACGAGGCAGUACAUGUUUGCAACAUUCAGGUGGCAGUACGUGUUUGCAACAUUAACGCGUUGGUACAUGUUUGUGGCAUUAACGCAGCAGCGGUACAUGUUUGCGGCAGUACGUGAUUGCGGUGGGUUUUUCAUAGCGUCCGGUGGUAUCUGUGGUGUGGGUUUCCCGUGCGUCUGUGGAAAACGUUGUGGGUUCUGAUGGACGUUAAUGUGAAACUGACGCCUUUUAUCCAAAUGAAUCCAAUAAAACCGUUUUUACUGAA